rnacentral:lncRNA from 12 species
AAGUCUAAAUCCUUCGCCCCAUCUGGGCUCCACCCAUCUUUCCCACCCCCUCCACUGUCCCACUGCUCUCUCUGGGUUCCUUCUACAGCUUUUGCAUCUGGCUGCAUCAAAUGCCAGCUCUCCCGUGAGACUGUCCUUGACCAUGGCGUUUCCCCUCCCCAGGACUGCCUGGCCCUGGCGCCAAGCCCCUACUGUGGCUCUGCUGACAUGCAGCUCUGACGCCCUAACAGUGAACACCCGUCAGCUGCUGGCCAGGUGCCGCAGCUUGCACUACCCGAAGUGCUUGAGGGAAUAACUCGGUUGUUCCCAACCACGCUGCAAAAAGGGAUCAUGAUGCUGCUGUGUAAGAUAAGGCAAGUGAGGGACUGUCACACCAAAUAACUUGUUGAUAGCCACACGGCUAGUGGAUGGAGGAGCUCGACUCACACCCAGAGGCCAACUGCCGAGGUCUGGCCUGAUGCACCAUGGCCGUGAAGUUGCAGCAGACACGGUUCUGCCGUGAGGAACCGGCUGGUGAAAGCAGCAGCAAGACGAGUGUCCAGCGUGGCAGUUAAGGUGGCCUGGCGUGGAGCAGGGCUCAGUUUACUCACAUCAUGAACGAACAAGCCAAUCUGACUCAUGUCCAGACAGCCUGGCCCAUCCAGGGCUGAAGCAGGUCCCGAGGGGGAGCAAGGUAGCAUGAUCAUCCGAGGGUCCAGGUGACUUUUUGCCUUGUCUUGGAGAAAUCUGUUCCAGGCCUACAAGGGGCCCCUGCUUCUGAGACAGGGGCACGUGGCAGCUCCCUGAUUCCUGCUGCUGUCCUUUCAGCCUCCACCAGUGGCAACUGAAGGCUAGAUGCUGCCUUUCACAGCCCCAGCAAAGGUGGCUGACAGUGUCUGCUGACGGGGUUGGUCUCCGGGGCCCUGUCCGUAAGCUAGCACCUGCAGGGUGUCUGGCAGAAAUGAUUUCCUGUGCUGUAGAUGCCACGUAUGUGUCCUUUGUAACGGAUCAUCUCCGGACCUCUGAAGUGUCACCCUGGAUUCCAGGAGGCCUUGCCAAGUGUGACACGAGCAGAGACUGGAGCAACACAGAAGGGGAGCGUGAAUCCCAGCAUCCUGAUUUCAGAGCUGAUGACCUCGGGCGACUCCCUUCCUUGCUCUGAGCCCCAGGUCCCUCACUUUAGAGUAGGAAUAACAAUACCACCUUGUAGGGGUGUCCUGGGGAGUUAAUGAAAUAACACCCAUGUGCCUGGCAAAGAGAGAGGGCCCUCUGCACUGUUGCCAGCUUUGGGCAGCCCCCGGAUCCUUCUUCCAUUACCUCUGGCUCUGCUGGAUUCUGUGCCUCUUCAGGGAAGGGAGCAAGGACAUGGAAGCACUUGCGGAGAAUAGUGUGUGCUCAACUCAUAGGCGGGGUUGAGAAAGAUCUGGUGCAGGGAUGCCUGGUGCCGGGUGGCUCAGUCAGGUAAACAUCUGCCUUCAGCUCAGGUCAUGAUCCUGGGUCCUGGGAUCGAGCUCCUGGCUGGAAAACUGCUUCUCCCUCUGCCACUGCCUCUGCUUGUACUCUCUCUCUCUCCCAAAUACAUAAAUAAAAUCGAAAGAAAGAAAGAAAGAAAGAAAGAA